AUGGCUCAGUGGUAGAGCACGUGCUUAGCAUGCACCAGGUCCUGGGUCCAAUCCCCAGU
rnacentral:tRNA from 1 species